UCCGGUUCUGGGAGUUUGGCGGGAGUCGGCGUCGGCGUGGUCGUCGGAUCGGGCCGCCGCCGUGUUUUGUCUUGGAUCUCUCUUUGUUUCAACUACAUAACCUCUUUAGUCUUCUUUGUAUCUUCCGUCAACCAUUCAGAAACUACCAAACAUGGAUGAUGAUUGGGAUGCACCACCAUCAAAGCCGCUGCACUCGGGCGGCGGCGGGUUCGGCGGCGGCGGCGGCACCAC